rnacentral:rRNA from 1 species
UACAGAGGGUGCAAGCGUUGUUCGGAAUCAUUGGGCGUAAAGCGCGAGUAGGCGGUCUCUUAAGUCUGAUGUGAAAGCCCGGGGCUUAACCCCGGAAGUGCAUUGGAUACUGGGAGACUAGAGGGUGUAAGAGGAGAGUGGAAUUCAUGGUGUAGGGGUGAAAUCCGUAGAUAUCAUGAGGAACAUCAGUGGCGAAGGCGGCUCUCUGGUACACUUCUGACGCUCAGACGCGAAAGCAUGGGGAGCAAACAGGAUUAGAUACCCUGGUAGUCCAUGCCCUAAACGAUGAAUACUAGUUGUCAGGAUACCUAAUUGUCUUGGUGACGUAGCUAACGCAUUAAGUAUUCCGCCUGGGAAGUACGGUCGCAAGAUUAAA